UCCUCAUAUACCCUCGGUUUGGAAUGUUAAUUACGGACUUGCCAUUUUGUUCUGAUAUUCCCCCUUUUCUUCUUCCCUGGUUUUCACUUUUUCUAACUCGCCCAUUAGUUUUCUUCUCUCUCAUCAUUUUCUUUGUCCUCCUCUUCCUCCUCCUUCUCCAUUAAAGCAACUCCAGAGGUACGAUAGUUUUACUUUUACGCACCUUUCACUUUCUCUCUCCUCCCUCCAUUGAAGCCUACUUCGAGUUUUCCAUUGAAGCGGAUUCUAAGCUUUCUAUCCUCCAUUGAAGCUGCUUCUGAGUUGAACGCUUUGCCUUUGGUGAAUGUGUUAGUGAGCUGGGUGUAUCUGCUGUGAAUUUGAACGCUUUGCCUUUGGUGAAGGUGUUAGUGAGCUCGGUGUAUCUGGUGUGAAG